AUUGAACGCUGGCGGCAGGCCUAACACAUGCAAGUCGAACGAGUGGCGGACGGGUGAGUAAUGUCUGGGAACAUGCCUGAUGGAGGGGGAUAACUACUGGAAACGGUAGCUAAUACCGCAUACCAUCAGAUGUGCCCAGAUGGGAUUAGAUAGUGGGUGGGGUAAGGGCUCACCAAGGCGACGAUCCCUAGCUGGUCUGAGAGGAUGACCAGCCACACUGGAACGGAACCACGGUCCAGACUCCUACGCGAGGCAGCAGAGGGGAAUAUUGCACAAUGGGCGCAAGCCUGGUGCAGCCAUGCCGCGUGUAGGAAGAAGGCCUUCGGGUUGUAAAGUACUUUCAGCUGGGAGGCGUUACCCGCAGAAGAAGCACCGGCUAACUCCGUGCCAGCAGCCGCGGUAAUUC
rnacentral:rRNA from 1 species